ACAAAAUCUUCUCAGAGGGGUUUUUCUGCUGCUGGAAAUAGGAAAAGAAACCUUGUUUGCAUGAAGGUGGUGUCAGAUGAUGAAGGAUCAGACUGGAAGAAGAGCCAGGACACCACCCCCAGUCACCUACACUUUGUGACCCUGGUUUAGGACUUUAUACCUUUGAUAUUUCUCAUCUACUGGACUCUGCUGAAUGGAGCCAUUGUUUUUCUUCUGAAAAUACCUGUUGAUGGCAUACUCCAGUGCAAGCAAAAUUAAAGACUAAGCUACUUAACCCACGUGUGUUCUUUGAACUAUCCCACUUAAACCUCCAGGAUAGCAGCACAUUGCAAACAGGCACGCUUCGUUAGCCCAUUCC
rnacentral:lncRNA from 1 species